rnacentral:rRNA from 1 species
AGACCCGAAACCCGGUGAUCUAGCCAUGGGCAGGUUGAAGGUUGGGUAACACUAACUGGAGGACCGAACCGACUAAUGUUGAAAAAUUAGCGGAUGACCUGUGGCUGGGGGUGAAAGGCCAAUCAAACCGGGAGAUAGCUGGUUCUCCCCGAAAGCUAUUUAGGUAGCGCCUCGUGAAUUCAUCUCCGGGGGUAGAGCACUGUUUCGGCUAGGGGGCCAUCCCGGCUUACCAACCCGAUGCAAACUGCGAAUACCGGAGAAUGUUAUCACGGGAGACACACGGCGGGUGCUAACGUCCGUCGUGAAGAGGGAAACAACCCAGACCGCCAGCUAAGGUCCCAAAGUCAUGGUUAAGUGGGAAACGAUGUGGGAAGGCCCAGACAGCCAGGAUGUUGGCUUAGAAGCAGCCAU